UAUUUAGGAAAUUUAGAAACUAGAAGCCCUAGUUUUCUUCGUCUCUCACAUCUAAUCUCCCUGCCUCCUCCUGCAUCCUCCCUGUCUCUCUCAACUCUCUCUCUCCCCUCUCGACUCCGCCGUCGGCGCCGCUGCCCCGCGCCGGCCCGUCGCCGCCCACCCUUGUCGCUGCGUCGCGCCGCUGCCGCCCACCCUCGUCUCCCUCUUAAUAUCCUCUCUCUCUGACUCAAAUGCACGCACACCACACCGCGCCUGAAAUCCUAGAUCUAUAAUCUACAGCCACCUCCCUGCCGAUUCCCGUCGACCGCACGGCGGGAAGGCCGCCGCCUCCGAGCGCAGCCCAAAGCCCCCUCUUCUCUCCAUACUCCGGCGACAACAGCGGCUCCUUGCCGCCGCCGUGCCCUAGCUUCAAUCCGCCGCUGAACUCCCUCUUCCGGCCGCACCACCUGUCCGACCACCACAGCACCAGCCCAGCCGCCUUCGUCGCAGCGCAACACCACCGCAACCCACUCCAGAACCGCUGCCCCCCACCAUCUCCCGGCAUCUACACAAGGCAGCUUCGUGCGCCACCCAUCGUUCCUAUCAUGAACGCCGAGGAAGAGCCACCAGUCGGCGCGAUUUACACCAUACCAGCAGCGCCAAACACCUUCUGCCACCGUCUCCCGCCGCCCAGUCACCUUCGCCCUUUUCCUGUCACCACCGUCAGUUUCCAGACACUGCCGCGCGGCCCCAGCUCCAAUCUCAACCCCGCUGUCUGCCGGAGCGAGCCCUGCCCUCCUCCACCGUUCAGGGAAGUUUAUUUCUUCAUUUUUGUGUUGUUCCAAUCAGGACUUGAUUUUUUGCUAAAUUAGGGCUCAAAUCUAGAAAGAGGCUUCCCCAAAUUGAUCUAUAAAAGGAUUUGAACAUAUUGACGCUAUUAAGUCCAGAUUUUUAUAUAUAUUACACUAUUAAAGACUAAGAGAUGAACUAAUUCGAUGCUAUAUGGGAUAAAUGAAAUUUUCUUGCUACAAACACUGGAAAAGUAAUAGUGACAGAUUCUGUAUGUUUAUCAAUGUGGAUUGUUGCUGGUUAAUAGUUUAGAAGUAUAAUCAUCUUCCUUAUAGGAGAUUGUAGUGAUUGCUUUUACAGUGUGAAGUUUCUAUUGUGAAGGGGAUAAAAUGUAGUGCAUGUAGCAGUUGAAACAAUUAUAACUGUUAUUGUGCAUGGAUGAACUUUGAGGAAGUGUGAAUAGAGAACCUUUUGUGCUUGUGAACUAAAUGGUUGAGAUUAUUAAGACCUAAAAGUUCAUUACCAAAAAGUAUCUAAUUGUUAUAAUAAUUAGCUUUACGUUUCAUUUAGCAUUGCAGGUUCGGUGGACCUCGGAGGAGAGGAAGUGGUACUUGUAUUUUACUCUUUUGUAGAAAUAAAAAAGCCUUUGAGUAGUUACUGAGCUACUUAUUGGUUCUUGGAAGAGCACUCACAUCCUUUUAUUUUCAUGGAGAUCACAAAUGACCUUUUAAUUUGCGGGAGCUCUUACUUGUUGUAAAUGCCUCCCAGGUGCUUCUGGAUUCUUGAGACUCAAGAGCUUGCGGGGCGCAGGAAAGAGAAUGUUACCAUACAAUGGGAGUGCUUCGUGUCAAUUUAGGAUGCUUCGUAUCCUUACACGCUCCUCAUCAAUUUCUUUGACAUCUCUAAAUUCUCUAUAGUUGAUCAUUUUAGGACUGCAACAUUUCUACUCAAUGAUCGAAGAAAAUUUUGUUUUUUAUGGUGAAAGACAUCUUAGUGUAAUCAAAUCUGCUAAGUUACAACUUUAGAGUCAUAUGUAGAAAAUGAUCUCAUAUUAUCAUAAUCUCUUAUGGGCAUCUCUGAAUUAGAACUGCAUUUUUUUGUUUUUUGUAUUUUGUUUUCUUGGGGUGUAAUUUUCAUUUCACUGGAUGGUAUAGGUGCUAAACCGGAUUGCUGGACUGGACAGGAAAUCAUGAUUUCCUAAUAGUUUUGAAUAAGUGAAUUUGGGCAUUCUUGAGGUGAACUCGCUCGUGUUGUUGCAGGUUCAUUAUUGUGAUUGAGUUUAUCAUCUUGGCGGAUCAAGUAGAUGGGAGUCGAUGAGCUAUGAGGACUACUACAAACGAGAAGGCUGAAGCAGAGAACGUCGUUUCAAAUGUCUAGCAAGUUGCGCGCAUUUGUAAUAUUUUUUAAUUAAACAUCUAGCUAAAUAGAAUAUAUGUGAAGUUUUCAUUAUAUUUGGAUGAUAAUGUAUGAAUAUUUUGGAUGAUAUAUAAUAUUGUUAUUGUUGAUUUUA